rnacentral:rRNA from 1 species
GCCUCUAACUCCGCCCAAUAAAAAACAAAUAAUUCUCACCCCAACACCAAGAUAAAACAUUUUACUAAUUUAGUAAAGGCGAACGAAAAUUUUAUAGGAGCCAUAUAUAAAGUACCGCAAGGGAAAAGUGAAAUAAAAAUGAAAUAAACAAAAGCAAACAAAAGCAGAGAUUAACUCUCGUACCUUUUGCAUCAUGGUCUAGCCAGUCUCAAUAAGCAAAUUAUACUGUUUAGCUUAUACCCCCGAAACUAGACGAGCUACUUAAGAACAGCCUUACAGGGCCAACCCGUCUCUGUUGCAAAAGAGUGGGAAGAUUUUUAAGUAGAGGUGACAUGCCUAUCGAGUCUAGAGAUAGCUGGUUGCUCAAGAAAAGAAUCUUAGUUCUGCCUCAAAUUUUAACAUAACCACCAAUAUGUAUUUGAGAGUUAUUCAAAUAUGGUACAGCCUGUUUGAUACUGAAUACAAUCAAAAAGUCCGGGUAAUACAACUUACUAUUUAAUUAAGUAGGCCUAAAAGCAGCCACCUUAAAUAGCGUCAAAGCUUGAUUAAAAUAACUAUUAAUUUCUCCAACUAUAUAGAACCCUACUAUUAUAUUGAGCAUUUUUAUAUAAUAUAAAAGAUAUUAUGCUAGAACUAGUAACAAGAAUUUAUCUCCAAAAUGUAAGUAUAUUUCAAAUAUGAACUUUAUUGUAUCUAGUAGUAACCCUCUUAGAAAUCCCUACUAAGUCCCCACAUUAAACUUACACAAGAACACUUCUGGAAAGAUUAAAACAAAAAGAAGGAACUCGGCAAAUUUUAAUCUCGCCUGUUUACCAAAAACAUCACCUCUUGAUCAAAUAUAAGAGGCCCCGCCUGCCCAGUGAUUAUUUCAACGGCCACGGUACCCUAACCGCGCGAAGGUAGCACAAUCACUUGUUCUCUAAAUAAGGACCAGUAUGAACGGCAUCACGAAGAUUAUACUGUCUCCUUUCUGCAAUCAGUGAAACUGAUCUCCCCGUGAAAAAGCGAGGAUUAUACUAUAAGACGAGAAGACCCCGUGGAGCUUUAAGAAUAUACCAACUGUCACACCAAUACCAUAAGAGAUUGACAGCCCUGACUAUUAACUUUCGGUUGGGGUGACCACGGAGUAAAAUAAAACCUCCGCAAUGAACGAGCCCAGCUCUAAUUUUAGAACUACAUUUCCAAAAAUCAUAACAUUGACAUCUAUUGACCCAAACCCUUGAUCAAUGAACCAAGUUACCCCGGGGAUAACAGCGCAAUCCAUUUUUAGAGCCCCUAUCAACAAAUGGGUUUACGACCUCGAUGUUGGAUCAGGGUAUCCCAGUGGUGCAACCGCUACUAAAGGUUUGUUUGUUCAACAAUUAAAACCCUACGUGAUCUGAGUUCAGACCGGAGUAAUCCAGGUCGGUUUCUAUCUAUAUAAUAAGCUUCUUCUAGUACGAAAGGACCGAAAAAGCACGGCCUAUGCACAAGCAAGCCGUAAUACCUUACUAAUGCUAUUGACUAAAUUAGAACGGAAUUUAUCCAGUCCCAGACAAGGACAA